AAACGAUGAUAAGGGCAUCUUCAUUGUAACUCCCGAUAACGCUCCCAAGUUUCGUACAAUGUCUCUCCUUCAUGUUGACAAAAACUUGUUAUGUCCAUAUAAAGUUU